AUUACAUGUGUCCAUUACACCUCUCCAAUUCUCAGAAUUUUGCAUCUAUCUUCAAUUAUGUUCCAUUAUUAUAUACAAGAAAAUUGUCAAUGCUUCCUGGAGCUUUCAAGAUUAACUGUACGAAAUGCUUUCCUUUGUUUGCAGGAGUUGAAGUGCUAAUACUCAUCUAUAUAUAAUUUUUUUUCCAAUGCAAUUUUCAUACUCAUUCUUCUGUAAGUUAUUAAAUAGGGAAUUGGAUGGAGAUUAAUAAUUCAGUAAUCCUCGCAUGCCCUUAUUGAUUAAUCAAGAAAGCGUACAAAUAUGACUCUCAAAUCAAGCACUAGCUUAGCUACAAAUAAUAUAAGUUUAAGUUUUUUUUUAUAAACCCAGAGAAAAUGGGAAGGUAGUGGAACCCAACCAACUGCUACCAGCAAUGAAGUUGUCAGGAGUAAACUCUAGAGCCUCAGUUGCACUAGUAAUCACCUUGAAACCCUUCCAGCUAACCCUCUGGGAUAUUCCAGCACCAACCCCAGUGUUUUGAUACUCUCCAUAAAACAAUGUGCUCAGUGCAAAAUCCCCAUUCCACUCGUGCCAUCCAGCAGGGUGUAUCACGUCACUGAUAUCUGAUUGCAUUAUAACAGUUCUUGAAUACUCCUUCCAGGGCCUUCCAAGAUAAGUUGGGAAGCUGCUCUGGACAGGUCUCAGAUCUGAAGUGGAACCAAUUCUACUCUUUUGAAUUACAAUGCCGGUGUUCUGAUUAGGGUCAGUCCUGCCUUGGGCUGUGACCAUAUUUUUCUGGCCUGAAUUGGGUUUACGAGCAUGGAUGUCGCAGUCCUGGAAAACGGCUGCUGAAUUGCCAAAAAUAAAAUCAACCGUUCCUGCAAUUAAGCAGUUUAUGAAAAAUUGACGAUUGGAGUGGACAUAGAGGGUGUCUUGGUAAGCUAGCAUAUCACAUUCGUAGAAAGCUGCAAGAUCAGCCCCAGCCCUUAGUGCCACUGCUUGGUGCUUUGAGGGACCAGCCGUGUUUUCGAAGGUGACACCCCUCGCUAAGAAUCCUUGACCCACUACAGCUGCAACCACAUGGAAUUAAAAGGUUCAUGUUAAUCAAUAACCAGCUGCCAAUUAUGUUUAAGUUUCACAUCAUUCGUUGGUUAAUUAAGGAAACUAAUUGUUGCCCGAAUUGGUGGUGGGGGUGACUGUUGAAUUUGUCCAUUAGUGAUUGGGUAAGGGCCUACAGAACUAGCUACAGCUCAAAAUAUAAAAAAGGACCACUAUCAGCUGAAGAAAAGUUAAACAAGAAUUAAAAAAGGACAUUAAGAAAGAAAGAAGCAUCAAGGAAGCAUCCCACUACCAUAGCAUAUAUAAGAAAAGUCUCUCCAGGGAACAUGAUGCUACUCUUCACUCAAUAGUCACUGCUGGGCUGUAAACCACCCAUUAGAUAUAGAAUACAGGGACAGAAAAUGACACUUCACUAAAAAAUUAGUUUGAAUUUUUUAAAGGAUUGAGUCAUCCUUCGCUUUACGUUACAGAUUCUACAAGGAAACUAAAUUUAUAGCAAAAAGACAGUAAUGUCCUACGCUCAUGGGCAAUGAAAAGACAGAUGAACGCAUAAAUUGUAAGUGAUGCAACCAUUUGAUGGGGACUUGUACUUGUCAAGUUUAUAUUGAUAAUUGACUAUGUGAAUCAAACCAUUUGAAUUGUGUAUCUAAACAAGGGGAUUAGUAGAUUGUUUUGCAUUUCCAUUUGGCAUUUUGUGUAUAUAUAUAUUCUCCCUAGCUACUUCUUUAUUCAUCGAUGACGUGUGCCAUGUUAUCUACUUCUACUGUUGUUUAUCAUUUAAAAAUUGUAUUAAUUAUCAAUUGCAAAAAUGCAUGUCAUGUUCCCAUUAAUAAACAUAUCUAUCCAACCGGUGCAACCCAUCUUAAAUCUUAAUUAAUGAGCUAAUAAUUUUAAAAAAUAAUUUCAAACCUAUCAGAUUUUGUCUGAUUUUUCUACUUAUACAUCCUUCAAAUUUCUCAGAGGGGAAAAUUUUUCAGUAAAAUAAAUGAGUUUAUUAUAUACAUAUCAAUUUCACUCAAUAAUUUUUCCUUGUGCGGAAAACAUUAAAAGAAUUUUUCAUAAAAAAAAAAUUGAGAAAAUAAACUAAAUGGGCAAGAAAAUAUAAUCAAUGGGAGGGCAAGGGAAGGGCUUACCAACUGUGGCAGAGUGGAAGGUUGUGCUUCCAUCAACUACAUUCCUACUUGCUGUAAUAAUCGUUGUUUUUCUUCCGUCUCCCAAAAACAUUAUGUUUGUCUUGCUCUUGGGCACUUCCACAUUUUCCCUGUAAACACCUGCUUUUAUUCUA
rnacentral:misc_RNA from 1 species